UAAGGAAUAUUGGUCAAUGGACGAAAGUCUGAACCAGCCAUGCCGCGUGGAGGAUGAAGGUCCUCUGGAUUGUAAACUUCUUUUAUUUGGGACGAAAAAGGGAAAUUCUUUUCCACUUGACGGUACCAGAUGAAUAAGCACCGGCUAACUCCGUG
rnacentral:rRNA from 1 species